CUUGCGCGGAGGGGUCAAGCACUACGCGAAGAAGAGGAGGAGAGAGGGGGUCGCGGGCGGAGAUCCUCACCGGCGGCAAAGGGGCGCGCGUGCUGCGUGGGUGACGGCACAAGGUGAGGGGAUUGGGAGGAGUAGCAGCUCUAUCCGGAGGAUCUCCCGAUUGCUAGGGUUAACGAGGCUCGACUGGGCAUAGUUGGGCGCGGCAUGGAAGCUCCGGCGGUGGACGAGCAUGGUGGCUCGGUACCUCCUGUUCGAACAGAGAGAAAGAGCGAGCACAGGAUGGAGGAAGGAGAGAACAAGAGGAAGGAUAGGGAGAGGAGGAAGGAAGGGCGGCUCUGGGUAGCUGAUUCCGGCGGGGGUCGCCGGCAUCGAGGUGGCGAGGCGAGGCCGGGUGCGCUGGCUUCUCCAUCACUUCUGGUUCCCCACCGUGGCUGCAGGCCUCCUCUCCCUCUCCAUCUUGCGCUCCUCCUGCUCCACUUCAUGUCCGGCCGUGGCUGGCCACAUCUAAACAGAUUACUAAUACAGUGACAAAUUCAGGGGAUACAAUGUCAGAUUACAUUCCGCGGAUGUCUUGCAGAUAAAAAUCCUUGUGGUGGAGGUAUUAUGUGCUACCACUUUAUCAUUACAUAACCAAUUUCCAUUCUUCAUAAAUAGCAACAAGCAGUUUUCCUCUCCAAGCAUAUUCAAAAGCGAAAAAAAAAAUGUAUUGUUUAUCCAAACUGUAUGAUGAGAUAGUUCAUAGUGUUGGACUAAAAUUGGAGAACACAAGUUUAUCAGAGACAAUAAGGAUUUGUCAUCAAGGAUCUAAGAGCUCUGGUAAUAUGUCCUUCUCCUCUUUUGAUUCUCCUUUCAGGACAUAAGAUUGCAGACUCUUGUUUAUAAGUAUAAGGGUGAAAGUAACUUUAAAUACUGUAGCACACGUCUCGUUCGAUUUGAUUCAAAGUGCAAUAAUGUACAGAACAUUAACGAUUACUCUCUCCUUCCGGAAAUAAGUGACGAUGUUUUAAUUCAAAAUUGAACUGUUGUAAAAUACAUAUGUUCAACUCCUUCCCCGGCGCCACGCUUUGGAGGCUUGCUCUGCUCAGCAUUCCCCGACCAAACUCUCCUUCCAUGUCCUUAUGCCGGAGACACACCAGCUACUUGAUAGCAGGUGCAAAAUAGAGCAGCGCUCCCACAAUUUUUUGUCCGAGGCAUGUUUUUUUGGGGGAGGAUCUUGACUUCGUCGCAGAUUACUCUAAUGCAGUCAUGUAGGUCCGCAUCGCGGUGACAUCUUGUUGCGCCAUCUUGAUGGCACUACUUCGCAGGCAGAAACCUCUCGCCGGAUCGCGUCCUAUCAUAUCUGUACACUCCUAACUUUGGAUAAAAGAAGUCUAAUUGAGGUUAAGAAAGGAGUGAAAUAAGCAUCUGGGCCUCAUAAUUUUUGUGCAAACGAGAGACCUACAGAGACACCAUCAUGGGUGUUGUGUAUUUACAAACAUAAGAGUGCAAAGGAAGCUUACUCUGUGUUGGUGCCCUGUUCUUUUAUAUGUUUCUCAAGCAGCUCAUCUUGACUGGUUAUCGGCACGACAAUAGUCGUACCCCUGGCCACGACCCCAGAGAGGAAUCUCUUUCUCCCAGACUGCCAGGGUGCAUUUUAACGUUGAGUAUCUUUAUUUUGGUCAUGGUCUGAGUGUAAACUAACUGAUGCACCCUUAAAGAAAUCUGGUUACUCUUUCACUUCUGGAUUUAUUAGCAAACUGUUCAUGAAAAUCUGAACUGUGUAAUUGUGUAUAUGUAAAUAUACACUUCUUACUUGACAAAAUAAACCGUAUGAGGUCCAAAAUAAAUUUUUGAUGGCCUUCUUCCAUUUAUUACCUUGCAUUUUGAUGAUGAGAAUGUCUGGUCAUAGUAAUGCAUGGAGCAAAGGAAAUUACCUUCUCAUGUUUAUGUGUAUUUCCCCAUGAUAAGAACAUGUUCAUGUAUGAGUUUGUUUCUUGAUUCAGUGUUUCAAUUUCAAUCAUGAGUUUUCUUCUUGAUUCAGCGUUUCAAAAGCUAAGCUCGGUGAGUAUUCAGAAAAGAUUGAAGAACUAGCUGCCACGCUCACUGCUCAAGCAAUAUGUUUUUAACAUGUCAAUUCAUAUUGAUAUGUUGAAUUCGUACACCUGCAGUUUGAACUGAUUUCCCGGACCAGUACAUGUCACCAUUACUUACAGUCUAGCUUCUAGAUACACAUUCAUUACAAUCCUUUGGAUACAGCUAGAAAAUGAACAUCCACUUGAUGAGAUCAAAGAAGAAAUAUCCUGUCAUUAGCCCGAUUCUUUUAUAUAUGCGAAUCUGUUUAGGGAGAAGUGGUGCUAGCUUUAUUGCCAGGAAAAAUUGAGCUUAGUGCCUCUACAAGUGGCACAACAUACACGUUUAUAUUAUAAAGGGCAUAUUGUUUCUUCAGUCCUAUUUCAAUAUAUAAGGUAUGCAUUUGAAUUUAAUAAUACUCUUUUUUUGUCAUUUAUCUGUUGUCUUUUCAUACUAAAUAUUUCUCACACAUACCCAAGAUACUAAUAGAAUGAAGCCACAUUAAUUUAGGAAUCACAACAAUACUCAUGUUUAAACUAAAUGCUACCUUUUUUAAGUUUGAACUUUAAAUGCUAGCUAUUUCGAUCUUUUUCCGUGGCAAUACCAAAUAUUUUCUUCCGGUAAAAAACCCAGACAUGUUCCUAUAUGACUCUCCCCUUUCUAUGUGAAAUACUAAUUCUUAUAUUAUUAUUUGCAGGCUCGGAAUCAUUAACGUGUCAAUGUCACCUCGAAUAGUGAUUGUUCUGUGUACGGAAGGUCCUUCGUGUAGCUUUCAUUCGGCACUAGGUCUCUGUUGAUACUGAAUUUGUAAGUAACUUGCAAGUAACAGACGUUUUGACAAUGAUCACUACUACCAAUGAGGACCACUGGCAAGAUAUAGCACAACAACCUGGUCCCUGUUCCGUAAAGGUUGGCCUGAUCCCCGUUGAAACAAAUUUGGCGUGGUACAUUAGUUGCAUUGUUCAUCCUGCAUGUUUUUUUUCACUUUCCUAAAGUAUGUUUGAGUAUAGCUUAUGGUUUAUUUAUAAGCUUGUGAGUUAAUUAAAGCUCACUUGGUGGUUCUAACUAAUUAUACUCAAAUAUGACCAUGACCGAAAGAUAGAUGAAGGUUCAGAUGCAGAGUGAAAGCCUGCACCAACAAGUUGUAUAUGGAACCUGGCGACUUGAUGGUGAGCACUAACCUUCACUCCGCAAGAAUCCUUUUUGACACUUACUCUGUAGAAAAAGCCUUUCAGUUUAAUAUAUUCUGCUUUUGUGGUUAAUAGAUCAAUGAACAAUCAUUUGAAUUGUGCUCCAUGAUAUUCAAGCUACUAUUGUAAGAAAUUGAAAGAAGUUCAUGUUUUGCCGC